AACUCCGUGCCAGCAGCCGCGGUAAUACGGAGGGUGCAAACGUUGCUCGGAAUUAUUGGGCGUAAAGCGCACGUAGGCGGUCCGCUAAGUCGGAUGUGAAAGCCCUCGGCUUAACCGAGGAAGUGCAUCCGAAACUGACGGGCUAGAGUACGGAAGAGGGUUUCGGAAUUCCCGGUGUAGAGGUGAAAUUCGUAGAUAUCGGGAGGAACACCAGUGGCGAAGGCGGAAAACCUGGGCCGAUACUGACGCUGAGGUGCGAAAGCGUGGGGAGCAAAACAGGAUUAGAUACCCUGGUAGUCCACGCCGUAAACGAUGAGCGCUAGGUGUUGGGGGUAUUGGACCCCCCCCAGUACCGCCAGCUAACGCGUUAAGCGCUCCGCCUGGGGAGUACGGCCGCAAGGCUAAAACUACAAAGGAAAUU
rnacentral:rRNA from 1 species